rnacentral:lncRNA from 1 species
AUGCCAGUGAGAGAGACCCGUGCUGGCCUACAAUUUGUACAAUGUUGUAGGAUACACACAGAGAGCAGGGCAUGGUGCCGACUUCAGUUGUCAUGAUCCGCCAAGCUGGGGAAGGAAAAUUGCUUUAAGUGUUUCUUCGAAGAGGGUGUUGAAUGUGUCUGCCAUAAGCCACGGUUUGAAGUAAGUUCAGAUGUGCCACUUUGCCACAGCCACGGCACAAUU